GACGUAGGGCGCGAGCGUUUGUCCGGAUUUAUUGGGCGUAAAGAGCUCGUAGGCGGCUUGUUGCGUCAGCUGUGAAAACCCGCAGCUCAACUGUGGGCUUGCAGCUGAUACGGGCAGGCUUGAGUUCGGUAGGGGAGACUGGAAUUCCUGGUGUAGCGGUGAAAUGCGCAGAUAUCAGGAGGAACACCGGUGGCGAAGGCGGGUCUCU
rnacentral:rRNA from 1 species